AUUGACCUCGCUGUCAUCGUCGGUCCCGAAAAGGACGCAAGCAUCCGGCGCCAAUCAGUGGCAGCCACCACUUGUUGCAAUAAUUCAAUGGUUGGCAACGCUGUUC